rnacentral:rRNA from 1 species
GACGAACGCUGGCGGCGUGCUUAACACAUGCAAGUCGAACGAUGAAGCUGAAGCUUUUGUUUUGGUGGAUUAGUGGCGAACGGGUGAGUAAUACGUGAGUAACCUGCCCUUGUCUUUGGGAUAAGCCUGGGAAACUGGGUCUAAUACCGGAUAUUCUGCUUCUGCCGCAUGGUGGGGGUUGGAAAGAUUUUUUUGGAUGGGGAUGGGCUCACGGCCUAUCAGCUUGUUGGUGGGGUGAUGGCCUACCAAGGCGUCGACGGGUAGCCGGCCUGAGAGGGUGACCGGCCACAUUGGGACUGAGAUACGGCCCAG